rnacentral:rRNA from 1 species
GAUGAACGCUGGCGGCGUGCCUAAUACAUGCAAGUCGAGCGAACAGACGAGGAGCUUGCUCCUCUGACGUUAGCGGCGGACGGGUGAGUAACACGUGGAUAACCUACCUAUAAGACUGGGAUAACUUCGGGAAACCGGAGCUAAUACCGGAUAAUAUAUUGAACCGCAUGGUUCAAUAGUGAAAGACGGUUUUGCUGUCACUUAUAGAUGGAUCCGCGCCGCAUUAGCUAGUUGGUAAGGUAACGGCUUACCAAGGCAACGAUGCGUAGCCGACCUGAGAGGGUGAUAGGCCACACUGGAACUGAGACACGGUCCAGACUCCUACGGGAGGCAGCAGUAGGGAAUCUUCCGCAAUGGGCGAAAGCUUGACGGAGCAACGCCGCGUGAGUGAUGAAGGUCUUCGGAUCGUAAAACUCUGUUAUUAGGGAAGAGCAAAUGUGUAAGUAACUAUGCACGUCUUGACGGUACCUAAUCAGAAAGCCACGGCUAACUACGUG